rnacentral:rRNA from 1 species
UACGGAGGAUGCAAGCGUUAUCCGGAAUGAUUGGGCGUAAAGCGUCCGCAGGUGGCAAUGUAAGUCUGCUGUUAAAGAGUCUAGCUCAACUCGAUAAAAGCAGUGGAAACUACAUAGCUAGAGUACGUUCGGGGCAGAGGGAAUUCCUGGUGUAGCGGUGAAAUGCGUAGAUAUCGGGAGGAACACCAGUGGCGAAGGCGACUACCUGGCCUGUUCUUGACGCUGAGGCGCGAAAGCUAGGGGAGCAAACGGG